UCAGUGUUGGGGGACAGAGGCUGAUUUGGCUUCAGGAUCUUGAUGGAUUUCAGGCAGAGAAGCAACUUGGUUGUGUCUGCUUUAGAAAAACGACUCAGUACAGCAACUAUAUUUCAGUUAAAAAAAAAAUUACGAAAGAAUCUCCCAAACCAAAGAACAAAUAAACAAAAAGCAGAAUGGCUCAGCGAACAGAAAGAGACAGACCUAAAAGGAGGGAAACUAUUCAGGAGAUAUUAUGUCACAGAAGUUAGUGACAAGAUCUUCUGGAGGCUCUUGGGCCCUUUAUCUGCCACCAUCGUCAUCUUUUUUUUUUUCCCCUGUCAAAUGAAAGUAUUUAUCUUCCCCUGGCCAGACUGGAGUGAUUCCCUGGUACACCAAAUUCAUCACUGACUGACUCAUGGGUUUUACUUCCUUUUCUUAUCUCCUAAGUUCUGAAAUUUAUGCUCAUUUCCCAUCAACUUUUCCAAGCAAUGAGUGGGAACACUCAAUUCAGAGACUCAGAUCCUUCUGUUCUGGAAAAAUUUUCAAUAUUACUUCUUAUAUAACGUCCUUCUAGCCUUGUCUUCCUUUCCUGAAAUUCUACAUGUUAGACCUCCUACACUGAUCCUCUAAUUGCUUUAUCUUUUGCCAAAAGAAAAUUUAGAAAGCCACACUUGAUAUGAAAAUUUUGUUGGUCAAAAAACAAACUGAGCUGGGAGAUUUCAAACUUAGAACUGGUAGGGAUCUCAGUGGCAUGACAUUACAAGAUGGCUUCUAAAGCCAGAAUGAAGAUGCUGGUUGAUCUUCAUGAUGAUUGGUUAUUGCAGUGUGGACAGCAUGGGAUUGGUUAAAAAUGAUUGUUUUACAUCAUUUUAGGAGGAUGGCAAAUUUUGAUUAUGAUUAUUAGAAGUAUUUAUAAGAAUUAACUUGUUUCACUUACAUAAAUGAAAUAAACUAGAUUAAGUUUUCCUUAUGUGG